ensembl:snRNA U6 U6 spliceosomal RNA
GUGCCCACUUAAGCAGCACAUAUACUAAAAUUGUAGUGAUAUAUUAGCAUGACCCCUGCAUAAGGAUGACCCUCAAAUUUGCAAAGUGUUCUAUUUU